AUAUUUCAGAAAAACAAAGCCCCGAAGGAGUACAUACCAAGAGGCCCAGUCGAGAGAGAGUUGGUACAAGAGCUCGAAGAGCUUUCUACUAUGGCACAUGACGCAUUGCGCACGACUACCGAGCAGGAGCCGAGGAACAUGUUCCUUCGAAUGAUAAAAAAGAUACGGUCGGCUCUUCAGAGGACGCGUCAUGCAAGCCGUGAUGGACGGGAGGAGCAACCAAUUGAGUACGGGCGGCGACGUCGACGAGGGCACACGGGGGCGGGAUCAAGCUAUGCGCAUGAUGAAGCUAGCGGCUCACAGCAAACUCAGGCCGAAUGUUCACAGGCGGUUCGAGACGACGCGGAUGUCAUGCACUCCCAACUUCACACACAACCGGACGAGGAACUUAUCCGAGCUCACGUCGAAGGUGAUCGAGGAAGGGGGAGAGGAAGAAGAGGGAGAGGGAGAGGGAGAGGGAGAGGAAGAGGGAGGGGAAAGGGCGUUGUUGAUAUUUGUUAAGUUUCGAUGGACUUGAUAGGAUGUUUGUGUUUGAGUUGCAAUUUGGACUUGAUAUGUUGUUUGUGUUGCGAUGGAUUUGAUAUAAUGUUAAGUUUGCGAAUAUGAAUUGUACGUAUUAUAUUUGUGUUUGUGAUU